CUCACUUUGUGAUUAGAGAGAUACCCUUCCAGGGCCACCCACGCCCAACUAACACCACACGCCAUCCCCUACAUAGAGUGUGAUGUGUGUGUGUCCCACAUUCAGCUUAAAAUCAUACUUCACAAAACCACAUUUAAUUCCACACAGUGUGCUCUCAGGCUUUAAAUGAAUGUGUAAUCACGUAGCUAGCUGUCGAGUCCAACUGGGAAACAAGACUGGGUUACGCUGAUCCAGGAUGUAGGGGAUACCCUAUCAGGUUUCCUGACCUGAUUCUGGUAGUAGAGCGAAGAACUCCUUUCUAUUUCACUUGCUAUUAUCCAGGAACAGGGAACAGAACAAGCUGGUGAGUGACCUUACUUCCUGUCUGGUGUGACUCUUCAGAACUCCUGCUCCCAGACCCACCAAAGUGCCAACUGCCAACUCACACAGUCCCUCCAGCUUUAAUGUUUGUUUUAUUUAACCCUAAAAUUACUAAGGUAAGUUGACUGAGAAGAGAAUACAUUCUGAUUCACAGCACAGAAGAGGAGGAGAAAUAAGAGGAGAGGGGUUGGAUGAGCCAAUUGGAAGGUGAGAAUAAUUAGGUGAUGGUCAUGAUAGUAUGAGGGCCAGGUUGAGAAUUUAGCCUGGAAACCAAGGUUAACACCCAUACUGCUACAUGUUAUUUAUUUAGCCUGGACACCAGGGUUAACACCCAUACUACUACAUGUUGUUUAGCCUGGACACCAGGGUUAUCACCCAUACUACUACAUGUUGUUUAUUUAGCCAGGACACCAGGGUUAACACCCAUACUACUACAUGUUGUUUAUUUAGCCUGGACACCAGGGUUAACACCCAUACUACUACAUGUUGUUUAUUUAGCCAGGACACCAGGGUUAACACCAAUACGACUACAUGUUGUUUAUUUAGCCUGGACACCAGGGUUAUCACCCAUACUACUACAUGUUGUUUAUUUAGCCAGGACACCAGGGUUAACACCCAUACUACACAUGUUGUUUAGCCUGGACACCAGGGUUAUCACCCAUACUACUACAUGUUGUUUAUUUAGCCUGGACACCAGGGUUAUCACCCAUACUACUACAUGUUGUUUAUUUAGCCAGGACACCAGGGUUAUCACCCAUACUACUACAUGUUGUUUAUUUAGCCUGGACACCAGGGUUAUCACCCAUACUACUACAUGUUGUUUAUUUAGCCUGGACACCAGGGUUAUCACCCAUACUACUACAUGUUGUUUAUUUAGCCUGGACACCAGGGUUAACACCCAUACUACACAUGUUGUUUAGCCUGGACACCAGGGUUAUCACCCAUACUACUACAUGUUGUUUAUUUAGCCUGGAUACCAGGGUUAACACCCAUACUUACUGUGACUCGGUUUGACAUCUUAUUCUUAGGGCAACACCGUUUGAAGGGUGUAAGUCCAUGACUAUCCAGCCACCACCCUCUAACCUCCCCCACCGUUCCCUCCUUCUUUCCCUCCCUUUCUCUUCCCAUUGUCUCAAGGAGAAAGUGAGGCCUGCCUUGUUUCAGAAACAGUCAGACAAGUGUCAACGUCUCCUGUGGAUCACAUUGCAUGUGGAGCGCAGCCAUGUGGUGAGAAACAGACCAAAAUAGUAUUCAGUAAAAUAAACAACGGCAGCACCCUCUUAAUGCUUUAAGAUUGCCUGUAAUUGAAGUUAAAUAGAGAGACGAUUGCUAUUGGUGAACUAU
rnacentral:lncRNA from 1 species